AUUGAACGCUGGCGGCAGGCCUAACACAUGCAAGUCGAGCGGAUGAAGGGAGCUUGCUCCUGGAUUUAGCGGCGGACGGGUGAGGAAUGCCUAGGAAUCUGCCUGGUAUUGGGGGAUAACGUCCGGAAACGGGCGCUAAUACCGCAUACGUCCUGAGGGAGAAAGGGGGGGAUCUUCGGACCUCACGCUUGCAGAUGAGCCUAGGUCGGGUUAGCUAGUUGGUGGGGUAAAGGCCUACCAAGGCGACGAUCCGUAACUGGUCUGAGAGGAUGAUCAGUCACACUGGAACUGAGACACGGUCCCGACUCCUCAGGGAGGCAGCAGUGGGGAAUAUUGGACAAUGGGCGAAAGCCUGAUCCAGCCAGGCCGCGUGUGUGAAGAAGGUCUUCGGAUUGUAAAGCACUUUAAGUUGGGAUGAAGGGCAGUAAGUUAAUCCCUUGCUGUCUUGACGUUACCAACAGAAUAAGCACCGGCUAACUUCGUG
rnacentral:rRNA from 1 species